rfam:Staphylococcus aureus subsp. aureus NCTC 8325, complete genome.
UUUAUGGAGAGUUUGAUCCUGGCUCAGGAUGAACGCUGGCGGCGUGCCUAAUACAUGCAAGUCGAGCGAACGGACGAGAAGCUUGCUUCUCUGAUGUUAGCGGCGGACGGGUGAGUAACACGUGGAUAACCUACCUAUAAGACUGGGAUAACUUCGGGAAACCGGAGCUAAUACCGGAUAAUAUUUUGAACCGCAUGGUUCAAAAGUGAAAGACGGUCUUGCUGUCACUUAUAGAUGGAUCCGCGCUGCAUUAGCUAGUUGGUAAGGUAACGGCUUACCAAGGCAACGAUGCAUAGCCGACCUGAGAGGGUGAUCGGCCACACUGGAACUGAGACACGGUCCAGACUCCUACGGGAGGCAGCAGUAGGGAAUCUUCCGCAAUGGGCGAAAGCCUGACGGAGCAACGCCGCGUGAGUGAUGAAGGUCUUCGGAUCGUAAAACUCUGUUAUUAGGGAAGAACAUAUGUGUAAGUAACUGUGCACAUCUUGACGGUACCUAAUCAGAAAGCCACGGCUAACUACGUGCCAGCAGCCGCGGUAAUACGUAGGUGGCAAGCGUUAUCCGGAAUUAUUGGGCGUAAAGCGCGCGUAGGCGGUUUUUUAAGUCUGAUGUGAAAGCCCACGGCUCAACCGUGGAGGGUCAUUGGAAACUGGAAAACUUGAGUGCAGAAGAGGAAAGUGGAAUUCCAUGUGUAGCGGUGAAAUGCGCAGAGAUAUGGAGGAACACCAGUGGCGAAGGCGACUUUCUGGUCUGUAACUGACGCUGAUGUGCGAAAGCGUGGGGAUCAAACAGGAUUAGAUACCCUGGUAGUCCACGCCGUAAACGAUGAGUGCUAAGUGUUAGGGGGUUUCCGCCCCUUAGUGCUGCAGCUAACGCAUUAAGCACUCCGCCUGGGGAGUACGACCGCAAGGUUGAAACUCAAAGGAAUUGACGGGGACCCGCACAAGCGGUGGAGCAUGUGGUUUAAUUCGAAGCAACGCGAAGAACCUUACCAAAUCUUGACAUCCUUUGACAACUCUAGAGAUAGAGCCUUCCCCUUCGGGGGACAAAGUGACAGGUGGUGCAUGGUUGUCGUCAGCUCGUGUCGUGAGAUGUUGGGUUAAGUCCCGCAACGAGCGCAACCCUUAAGCUUAGUUGCCAUCAUUAAGUUGGGCACUCUAAGUUGACUGCCGGUGACAAACCGGAGGAAGGUGGGGAUGACGUCAAAUCCCAUCAUGCCCCUUAUGAUUUGGGCUACACACGUGCUACAAUGGACAAUACAAAGGGCAGCGAAACCGCGAGGUCAAGCAAAUCCCAUAAAGUUGUUCUCAGUUCGGAUUGUAGUCUGCAACUCGACUACAUGAAGCUGGAAUCGCUAGUAAUCGUAGAUCAGCAUGCUACGGUGAAUACGUUCCCGGGUCUUGUACACACCGCCCGUCACACCACGAGAGUUUGUAACACCCGAAGCCGGUGGAGUAACCUUUUAGGAGCUAGCCGUCGAAGGUGGGACAAAUGAUUGGGGUGAAGUCGUAACAAGGUAGCCGUAUCGGAAGGUGCGGCUGGAUCACCUCCUUU